AGCGAACGCUGGCGGCAGGCUUAACACAUGCAAGUCGAACGCCCCGCAAGGGGAGUGGCAGACGGGUGAGUAACACGUGGGAACGUACCCUUUGGUUCGGAAUAACUUGGGGAAACUCAAGCUAAUACCGGAUAAGCCCUUAUGGGGAAAGGUUUACUGCCGAAGGAUCGGCCCGCGUCUGAUUAGCUAGUUGGUGAGGUAAUGGCUCACCAAGGCGACGAUCAGUAGCUGGUCUGAGAGGAUGAUCAGCCACACUGGGACUGAGACACGGCCCAGACUCCUACGGGAGGCAGCAGUGGGGAAUAUUGGACAAUGGGGGCAACCCUGAUCCAGCCAUGCCGCGUGAGUGAUGAAGGCCUUAGGGUUGUAAAGCUCUUUUACCCGGGACGAUAAUGACUGUACCGGGAGAAUAAGCCCCGGCUAACUUCGUGCCAGCCGCCGCAGUAAGAC
rnacentral:rRNA from 1 species